rnacentral:rRNA from 1 species
AGAGUUUGAUCAUGGCUCAGGACGAACGCUGGCGGCGCGCUUAACACAUGCAAGUCGAGCGAGAACCAGUCCUUCGGGACUGGGGAAAGCGGCGAACGGGUGAGUAACACGUGGGUAAUCUGCCCUCGGCACCGGAAUAGCCCGGGGAAACCCGGAUUAAUGCCGGACGGCCUCUCCGCCCCUCGGGGCGGCGAGAAAAGGUAGCUUCGGCCUCCGGCCGAGGAUGAGCCCGCGGCGGAUUAGCUUGUUGGUGGGGUAAAGGCCCACCAAGGCGACGAUCCGUAGCUGGUCUGAGAGGACGAUCAGCCACACUGGGACUGAGACACGGCCCAGACUCCUACGGGAGGCAGCAGUGAGGAAUCUUGCGCAAUGGGCGAAAGCCUGACGCAGCGACGCCGCGUGAGGGAAGAAGGCUUUCGGGUUGUAAACCUCUUUCAGAAGGGACGAAGCUACUCGGGUUAAUAGCCCAGAGGGUGACGGUACCUUCAGAAGAAGCCCCGGCUAACUACGUGCCAGCAGCGGCGGUAAUAC